UACGAAGGGUGCAAGCGUUGUUCGGAAUUAUUGGGCGUAAAGCGCACGUAGGCGGCUUAGCAAGUCGGACGUGAAAUCCCACGGCUCAACCAUGGAAGUGCUUUCGAAACUGCUGAGCUUGAGUACUGAAGAGGAUCGCGGAAUUCCCGGUGUAGCGGUGAAAUUCGUAGAUAUCGGGAGGAACACCAGUGGCGAAGGCGGUUGCCUGGAGCUUUGCUGACGCUGAUGCGCGAAAGCGUGGGGAGCGAUCAGG
rnacentral:rRNA from 1 species